rnacentral:rRNA from 1 species
AUGGCGGCAACUGCAGCCGCGUGCACUGGCGUCUGGCUCCGGCGAAUGCUUGGAGAUCUACUAGGUGAUCCGAGAAAAGCAACUCCACUUCUCAUUGACAACAAGUCGGCAAUCCAACUCUGCAAAAACCCUGUCUUCCAUGACAGGACCAAGCACAUCGAGACGCGGUUUCAUUUUAUCUGCGAGUGCGUUCAAGAUGGGAGGAUCGCCGUCGACCACAUCCACACCGGUGAGCAGCUGGCGGACAUCAUGACCAAGGCACUGCCUCGAGUGAAGUUUCAGGAGCUGCGGGCGAAGCUGGGCAUGAUCAACAUCAGCAACUGA